rnacentral:rRNA from 1 species
GUUAGGAAUAUUGGACAAUGGGCGCAAGCCUGAUCCAGCCAUGCCGCGUGAGUGAUGAAGGCCUUCGGGUUGUAAAGCUCUUUAGCCGAUGAUUAUAAUGACUGUAGUCGGAAAAUAAGCCCCGGCUAACUUCGUGCCAGCAGCCGCGGUAAUACGAAGGGGGCGAGCGUUAUUCGGAAUCACUGGGCGUAAAGCGUGCGUAGGCGACUUUGCAAGUUGGGAGUGAAAGCCCAGGGCUCAACCCUGGAAUUGCUCUCAAAACUGCAAGGCUCGAAUUCGGGAGAGGAUAGCGGAAUUGUCAGUGUAGCAGUGAAAUGCGUAGAUAUUGACAGGAACACCAGUGGCGUAAGCGGCUAUCUGGACCGAUAUUGACGCUGAGGCACGAAAGCGUGGGGAUCAAACAGGAUUAGAUACCCGAGUAGUCC